GGUUUCCUAGUGUAAUGGUUAUCACAGCGGAUUCUGAUCUACUAAAGUAGGGCGUUCCGCUAAUCUGGGUUCGAUUCCCAGGGAGACCU